CCUGCAGGCCACCCAGGGGGGCUGGCACCCAAUGAUGUAUUUUACCAGACACUUGUGACCUCCAGACCCAUCCAAAGGCUUUCCAGAAAGGUCUCCUCCUCGCUGGGUCCCCACUCACUUCAGCUCAGCUUUCUGUGACCCACCAAGACUCAGAACGGUACACAGGCAUUGAUUGAUGUAGAUUUAUAUCUAUUGAAUAUUUAUAUCUCUAUCUAUAUAUAUAUACACACAGCUCACCCCAGCAGUAUGUACAUAUCCGUGUGUAUAUAUCCUACUGUAUGUAGAGAGCUGCCUUACAGACGCCUGGCUCUCUUAGCUAUCGGAAUGAUCGAUCUCGGAUAAAUAUCUUUGUUACUGAUGGCAGCAGCAAGCGCCGCCCAUCCCGCGCUGCGGCCCCGGUGCCGUCUGUGUCUCCGACAGCGGGUGGCACUGUGCAAUCAGAAUAGCCUGGCUUUCUCUUAAUUCCACUGCCUUCAUCUUCCAGCCUGCUGAGGUUUGAGCCCUGCGGUUCUGCAGGGACAAGGGAUGUCAGUACCGACAGCAUCUGAAAGCUGAGGUUCACAGGAUGGGAACUGGAGGAUGCUUCCUUAUGAAAACCAGAAAUGGUAAAUUUUCUCCAAAAGGCUGAGCUUGGUUUGAGCUAUGCUCUUCAUUACUUCUUCUAUUAUUUAAGGAACACUUUCCCACACGCCUGAGAUCUGCAGGAGGAAACUCUGCAUGAAGUAAGCAGCCACAGGGAGGAGUGGGAAAGGAGCCAGCAACAAGAAGUUGGGUAAAACAUCAUGUGUCCCAUGUCCCUUCCUGCUGGAUACCUGCUUCACACAUGGUGGGGGAAAAGGUCCCAAGAAGUUAUUUCAGAAUAUGCCCAAGAUUAAAAGAAAAUUGUUGUUUUCCUGCUGGCUACAGGAGAGCCAAGAGUACGGCUACACACCAGGCUGCAACCUUUUAAUUAUUAGAAAUUUGAAUUAUUGGGAAUUUGUAUUUCACUAGAUGCAUUGAGAAAUAAUAGCUAUAUUUGCUAGUGAGGCUUCUGAUACAGUGACAAGAGAAGAUCCUAAGAUACUUGUGGGGUUUUCAUUUCUGGAAUUGGUUUAUCUGCUGUUAAUGAAAAUCUAAUUCUCUCCAUUCCCAGUUGAAAUUGUUUUCCAUUGAUUCCAGGUCCUGGGGAAGGGCCCAGAGUCAUGAAUAUGGCAUUUCCUGUCUGGGAGUUGGACCCGUGUACCCUAAGUAUGUGUGUGUAUCCUCAAACAAACUAACACAUCCCUUCUUGUUUAUCUAGUUCAGCCUCUUGUGAAAUACUUCUACCAGAUUCUGUGCAUUUUCAGCCCAAUUGCUCUGAAUUUAAUUACCCAAUCUUGCUAAAACUGUUUAAAUGCAAUUAGCCAAUGCAAUUAUCCAAUAAUAGAAUAAGUCCAAAAAUUAAAAGCAGCAGAAAGAAAAAAGAGGGGAGGACAAAAAAAACCAGAGGCAUUUGCAUCAGAUGUUUAAAAAUAAAUUUUCCUAUUUGACAGUAUGGUGAGAACAACCUUCUGCAGCUAGAAAAAGAUUGGUUUCAGAGUGGGAAAAAACCAACCCCACCUUAUGACUAGAAUUCAUUCUUUGAAAAUUCUUUCCUGUCUGAAAAUGCUAAUGCAGGGAAGAUUCUGUGCCAUUUUCCCCGAGGUUCUCUUCGGGUCCCUGGAGGCAUGAGAGAUGGUGUUGCCCUGUUCCACAUGAGUGGGAACAACACUGGUCAAUGUCCCAUGAAGAAGAAUGCAUCCAGAACCUGCUGGAGCUGGCUGGUGAAAGAUGCUGAGUUCUGGGGGAACCAUUUGGGGAUGAAGUGGGAACUUCACCCCAGAUGUGCAGGCAAAUGCUGUGUCGUGCACAACAGCAGCACCUCAAAAGUUUGCAUCCCCCUUACCCAAAAUGGCCCUUCCAAGGACAUCAUAUGGUCACUGACUCAGCCUUCCCUGAGAGGCCCUGAGGUUGAGGGCUGCUGAUCAGCUCAGUCCCUUUCUUUGCUGAUUCCUCACCAUUUUUCUCAACCAUGUGAACAACCACAUUAAACAUCCAGACACCAAAUGAACACGGCUCUACCAGCUCAGUAAUGGAGGUUAUAAGCCAAAUUAACAAGUCAAGACUUAAUUCUAUGUAUUCACUUUUCAUUUUUCAUUUCACUAAUUAAGCAAGAAACCUGGGUCAUAAAUUAGUAUGAUUAAAGCAAUUAAGCAGCAUAGAGUACACCCUUAAAUGUACAGCUCAUGUAACUGUGCAGAUCAUAGGUUGCUCCAUCUGUGCUUGUUUGCUUAGCCCACUCUGGACAAAGUCCUAGUACAUUUUGAGCAUUUAAUUGUCAACUCUUCCUUUUUUAUGGUUCAUUGCUUGCAAGCCCACAGUUGGACAGACAUCUAGAGACAAAGGGCCAAACCCUGCCCCAUCCUGUCCCACUGGGAAUGAACUGAAUCAACAAGACAGGCGACUGUGCUGCCAAGGGUGAGACACGGCAGUGCCUGGCUGCUCAUGCUGCACUUUGGAUUGAGCAGAAGUUGGAGGAAUUGCUGUUUUAUCAUGGAGGAAUUUCCUACCUCCCACCUACCUUGCAAGACCCACCAUAGUGAUCUCCUGUCCCUAUUAGCUUCCCCUUUUCAGCUCAGGCUGCAUCUCAAAGUUUUUCCUGAAGACUUUCUCUGUUUCCAGUUGGCAGCAAGGGGUGGCCAGUUUCCCAUCACAGGACUCACAGGAAUCAUCCUUAAGUAUUAUAUCCUUGAGUAUUACCCUCACAUAGUUCAUCCUUUUGCAUAUCCUGGAGAACCCUUGCUGCACCCCUGUCUUCCUGCUCAUUACCAGAUCAUUAAGGGACCAAGUACUACCCAGCCACCACUUGCAUAAAUGUGCUGCAGCACCGGGGGAUCUGAACACUUCCUGACAAUGCACACAGCCUCCUGGAGAAGAAAUUUUAAGAACACCUCCAUUUAAUUCUGGGGAUGUAAAGCAGAGAGACCAAAGUGACUUGUACUUCCAUCUCAGCCAUUCAUCUCCAGGUUGCACUGGGGUGAAAAUGCCAUGCGGCUUUGGCAGGCAGAUCUCUGACCCUUCAUUAGCUGGGCCCAGCUGAACAUCUUCCUUCCUGCCUUGUUAGGAGCUGUGGCCUCUGCAAAGGUAAGUCAGGAUUUGAGAUGGAUGCAGGGAAGGAAGGGCAAACCUCCAAACACCAGUAUUUUUCUGAGCCCCAAGGCUGUAGGUGAAGCAGUGCAUCUCUGGCUUGAGGUGGAUAUUGUUAUUGGAAUUUGGGAUGCCUUUUGGAUUAAGCAUCACGCAGCACUCACAAGGCUCCACUUAGCUGACAUGUCUGAGCUCUGCCUGAAAAUCUGAUCUCCCUGUCUUUACUCCUAAAGCUCUCCUUGCCUCUCCUUCUUUGUUUUCUGAUUCUUUUCAUCCUAGCCAGUUGUAACAUGUAUCUCCCCGUUAUGUUCUUCAGAUGUGCUGCUCUGUUUUUACUUGAACUAAAUAAUACCCUGUGCUCUUUUCUCCCCCUUUCCCAGUGUUGGCUCUUCCCCCAAAUUCCUUGUGCAGGCAGUUUGUUUUCUAUGGUUUUGCUUCAGCUGAAUUUGGUUAUUAAAUGUGCUUUCUUCUUUCCAGCGAGACUCCUGGUCCAGCCUCUGAGCUGCUUUUCCAACACAUGAAGUAUUUCCAUGUCUUUCCUCUGCUCCAAGAAGAUUUCAUUGUAAUGUUAAAAAGGUAGCAGUAACCUUGGACACCUCUAUUUCUGUCCCAUUUUCUAAGGACACAAGGUUUAGUUAAGGGUACUAUGUGUGGGCAUAGUUGCUGAUUCCCUCACAACUUGAACCCAUCCAUGAAAUUUAAUGAAGGUGGACAGAGGGUCAGACGGCUCGAAGACUUCAGGUUCUGAAAAGUCUCAUGAGUAUGUCUGAAUAAGCAGACAAGGAAGAUGCUCUGUGUUGCCUAACCAAAUGGCAGAAUAAACACUGAUUUUUGGGCUAAAACCUCAAAAAUAUGAUCCAAGGGUUCCAGUACCAAAGGCAAAUUAAGAGCAUGCACUUGCUUUUCUUUCAAACCUCAUGUUUUUGAAACCAUAAAGUCUCAUGCUUUUGGAGGGACCUGACUCAUGACUUUUAAACCCUUGGGUAUGGAAACAGUCAUGUUGGAGUCUCCUUGAAGCCAAGAGUAGUUAAUAUAUCAUCUCAACCCCCAGAAAGUAGAGCUUCACCUCCUCCUUGCUGCUGGUUCCCUGCCAUGCCAUUCCUAGAGGCAGGAAAGCAAUGCUCAUAUCCUGGAGCUGUGCUAUUGCAUCCUGAUAUGUGGUACAGGUGCCAGAGGGGACAGCAUGGGACAAAGCAGAUGAAGGAGCUGGGUGUACUGAGUAACCCUGGGCAUGUCUCUACCUUCCUGUGCCUCCACUUCUCUACUCAUCCUGCAGAAACCCUUUCUGGGUGGGGGCUUCCCUGGUGUGUCUGUACAGCACCUGCUACUACAGGAUUCCCACCAGGCUGAGCGUGCAGGGAGGGAGAACAAACGGUCCUAAAACAAAAUAAUUAUGGGCACCCCAAUCUCACAGGAUCAGCUUCACUUUAAAGAGCAAAGAGCCUGUCUUGUAGGAGCCAUUGCUCCGGGGCUUUGUUCUUUGGAUGGGUUCCCCUCGGCUAGGGUUUGUCUCACAGGCACUCAUCCCAAACAACACCGAGGAGAUAAAAAGCUAAGGUGUGGUAAGAGAAGGAAAUGUAAGAGCAGGCAGGGAAGAAAGGCAGAAAAUGGUACAGAGAAAGCAGGAGACAGCUGUCAGGUUUGCCAGAACAGGUAGUUGCUGAUUCAGGGCAAGAGCAAAGCCCCAGCUUCCCGUGUGCACAGCCCCAGCAGAGACAGCCAGCCGGGAGAGGGUCAGCACUGCUCCCACCAGGAGCACAGCUCAGCACAUCCACGUUUGCCCCUACAGUUCCCACACCAACAGGGCCCUCAGCUGUGACCCAGCUCCUGCCUCCAUGCACACAGCUAUUUACAGGAUUUCAAUGGGUAGGGCCGAAACCACUCCAUGUCUAGAGCUGCCACUGCCAAAGGAAGGAGACGGGGGUCCUUGCAAAGGGCUUUAAUAAUCUCUCUGUUGCUCUGGCUGGCAGUUUUCGGCAGGCAUCCCACAUUCUUCAGCAGCCCUUUCCUUAGCAAUGAAUAGGCUUUUAGCACACUCUCAUAAUGGUUUCCUUUCCUGUGGCACUCAGAAAAAAACUUUCAGUGUGCUCCAGCACCCGCCUCUGCUGCCUCUCCUUAUCCACCAGAAAGAUGUGGUGGCUCUGCUCAGCAUAUCCUCUGCUGCCAAUAGAGCCACUCUGUCACCUCUGAAAACAGGUGGUGUGUGAGCAAGGAGUGGAGGGUGGUUUUGCCUCUCUUCACUUUUCUCAAAGCUCCUUUGCAAGCUGGGGACAAAAGGCUAAGUAGGACCUCUUCACCUUCCCCCCAGAGGCACAUGAGUCCCACAGAUCAGCAGCCCCAGGGCAGGAUCAGGGACUUCACCCUGGGGCUGACUCCCUUCACCAGGGAUGAAUUGUGUGCCAGGGGUGAAUUGCACUCCCUGAUGCAGUCUUGGCUCUGACCUCAGGCAGGUGGAACGUUCACACUCCUCCUGCCUUGUUUCUUUUAUCUUAAAUCCCAGCUGGGCUAUUACUCCAAAACCUGCAGUAACAGGAGUGUUACAUAGUCACAGUGGUGUGUAAUCUGCACAGGUAUGUUGUUGUUUGUUUUGUUUCACCUAAUAUAAUGAUUUUAUGGUUUUGAUAAUGAUGCUGCUUCAUUAGAGAGCUAAAAUUGCUUCAGUUCAGGCAAGUAAAAGGGCAUUUGGAGCUCCCAGCAGGUAUCCCACACACAUACAGUAGCCCAGGCAGCUUUGAAAAUUGUACAAUAGAUAAAGUAAGCUCAGAUUCUCAAAGGCUUUGAGAUCACUGAGAACUACAAGCCCCAGAAAAACAUCAGGUACCUAUGUACUUUUCCUAGGUCUAGCUUAGAAAUGGGCCUGAAACCGUGGACUUUAGCAGCAAAAAGCUCAUUUUCCAUUAUGUAAACAUUGGGAGAAAAGGAAGAGAGUGGCAAUGCGACACCCUGCUGUGAUGUUGAAGACUUUGAGGUUAUUUUCAUACUAACCUGCAGACUCAUCACACACGUUUCUGUGUUUCUCCUUUCUUUUGAGUAUGCUUUUACUGUUUGCCUGAGAUAUAUGUGACUGCCCUGUAUUUCCACAUAUUUUAUGGGUCUUUUCAGGAUUAAAGGGAAAAUCUGCAUCAGCCCUUUCUCCCAGAUCACAAGAACUAUUUUGUGAGUCACACAGAGAGCGGGGGACGGCAGUGAACAUAAAGGAAGCACCCUAGCCCUAUGCAGCUGAAAGCCACUUAAGCCAAAAAAAGAAUCUUCAGGUUCCAAGAGGGAAAGUCAAAAUCCCUAAUUUAGAAGCACCAACAGGGUGGACAUUGGAAGCAUGCAGACUCACUCACUGGAAAGCUCCCAAGAUCUACAAGCGCUGAAAUGAAAACAUGACACAAUGGAUCAGUCAACAAUUACUACUGAAUAAGCCAGCGGGCUUCAGGGUUAAUCACUGCAGCCAUCCAUGAACUCUCACAGGGUGGAAAAACAGUUAGCAUUGCCUAGAACAUCUUUGGGAUGAUGUCCAGUUGUAUGGUGGGAGGUUCAUGUGCUCUGUUGUCUUCUUGUUGGCAAAAGCAUUGACAUCUGGAGGUAUGUCAAGAGAGGAAGGAUAACUGGAUCAGUAUUUGAAUUAAACAAUCAAGAGAGGGGGAAAAAGGAAGGGGAAAUUAGGGGGAAUUCUCAUGGUGUUAUUGACAAGGAAGCUUGACACCAGCAUGCCUAUGUCAAAGUGUUGUUUUGGAAGGGUUGGCUAUGACUGAACAGCCUCAGCAUGGGUUCAAGAACUUUCACUGGGAUCUACAGUUCUGGAGGUGUGUGUUUCUGCAGGCCCCCUGGCAGUUCUAUGGCACUGCUCUGAGCAAGGUCAGUCCCACAAGGACACAGGGGAUGCUCCAAGAGAGAAGGAGUCCACUGUCACAUGGUGGAAAAGGUUCCGUGUUGGUUCUUGCACUGGUCUCAUAUAUGUGCCGCUAUCAGUGACUUUUCUGAUUUAAUACAUUCUUCUUGCUUACACUUUCCUGAAUUUCUCCCCUUGCUUUCAGUUUGCUCAAGGGAACAGCAUUUAUGUUUGUUGUUUGGUUUUUAGAAUCUCUUCUUGUCCGAAACAAGGAAUAGAUUUCCAUAUUUUUAUAUUUAUAUGAUAAUUUUCUGUUGUAAUUUCUUUUCUGCUUUUCUCUUUCCCUUUUCAUGGGUAAAUUGAAAGAAAAAAAAUGUGAGAUCAAGAGAGAAGGGCAGGGAAAAAUGAAGCAUGACAUUUUCACAAGGACUGCUCUGAAAAUAUUAAUUAAAAACCAUUUUUGAAAUGCUUCUGAUGGAGAAAGAAACAAUUAUGUUGGACAGCAACUUGUUUAUUAUUCACAAACCUAUUUGCAGAAAAAAAUUCAAACACGAUUUUAAAAGAUCUUAAUAAUUUUUUUGUUCUUUUUGAGGUUUGUGGAAUUGUAUGUCUUUAAAAGUGUUUGCAGAUACUUGUUUUUCUGUUUAGUCUCUGUUUCCUAUAUCUGUUGAUUUGAUGGGACAUUGAUUCACAGACUUCAACAAACUAAGUGUUACUCAAAGGGAAAGUUAUCAAGGAAAAAAAUACAAAAUCAAUAAGAAUGUGCUAGUAUCAUGAGUCUAAUUUCAGAGCAAGAGUGAAUCAAGAAUUUUCAUCAAGGCUCAAAGUGGAUGCUGGUAGACACAGCUGCUUGUCAGUGGUGUUGUUACCUAUUUACACACAAACAACUCCCAGGAGCUCCAGCCAUGAUAUAGCGAUCUUCAGGCCUAUCCAUGAGAUUGGAAAACAGAAAAGUCUUAUUAAAUCGGGAUUAUUGUUGCAUCACACCCUGUCAGUCACCUUAAUUAAUGCAGUCUACUCAAAAAGCAGAUGUGUGGCUGGCUGUUUUCACAGCAUGUUUUCUGCUAGGCUGUGCUUUGCUGAUGUCAAGGGAAUGAGCUGAAAUGGAGCCCCUGACAGAGUCCAAACACCAGCUGGAGCUCCUGGAAGUGCCCUUGUGAGCAAACAUGACACUGGUGCACCCACAAGUGCCCUUUUCCAGCUCUGUGUAUCAUCACUGACACUGUCUGCUCCUCAGACAACCAGCUUGUGAGGUGAGACAUGAGUUCCUCAAGGAAGGGUGCUCAGAGUCCCUGGAUGAACCCACGGACCUGCUGAAUGGCUUUGACCAUGUAGACAGGGGACACAGACACAACCUGUCCUGGUGCAGAGAGUGGCUCCUGCCUCUGUUAGAGGUUCCUGCAGAGGAGAGGGGGACACUGAGGGCACAGGUGAACCCCGCUGAUGGGGACAAUGUGUGAGUUGUGAAGAAUUUGAGGGGGUCUCUGAAUGGACAGGUGGGCUGUGGGAGCACUGAUGGGGAUGUAUGCAAACCAUGGGGACAUUGAGGGGGACAUGUGUGAGCCACGGGCACACUGAGGGGACGUUAUUGAACCACGAGAAUAGGGAGGGGGACAUGUGUGAGCUGUAGGGACAUUGAGGGGGCAUCUGUGAACUAUGGGGACACUGCAGGGGUGUGUUAAGAACUCUGAUGAUACUGAGGGGGGACUGUGAGGGGACCCGUGUGAUCCACGGGGUCAUGGACACGAACAGAGGGGACACUUGUGAGCCCUGGGACACUGAGGGGACGCGAUGGAGGGUACACGUGUGAAUUAUGGGGACACUACAGCGGUGUGUACUAACAAUAGGGAUACUGAGGGGGGGACAAUGGAGGGACAAGUGUGACCCACAGGGACACAAAGGUGGGCGGGAAGGUGAUGGGGAUAUGUGUAAGCCGUGGGGAGACACGCGCGAUCUCUGGGCCACCGCGGGGACACGGAAGGGCCUUCAGGCCGCGGAGGC